rnacentral:snoRNA from 1 species
GGUGUUAUGAUGAGAUGAAGCACUUGAGCGUGUUUGGGCAGUGGACGGAACCACAAGGUUUCGCCGUGAGCCUCCAAUUUUAACGACUUCUCCUUCCACUGAGCACC